rnacentral:rRNA from 1 species
GGCUCAGGAUGAACGCUAGCUACAGGCUUAACACAUGCAAGUCGAGGGCAGCGCAGUGUAGCAAUACAUGGGCGGCGACCGGCGCACGGGUGCGUAACGCGUAUCCAACCUUCCCGUUACUCAGGGAUAGCCUUCCGAAAGGGAGAUUAAUACCUGAUGGUAUCAGAAUUUCGCAUGUUAUUCUGAUUAAAGAUUUAUCGGUAACGGAUGGGGAUGCGUGACAUUAGGUAGAUGGCGGGGUAACGGCCCACCAUGCCUACGAUGUCUAGGGGUUCUGAGAGGAAGGUCCCCCACACUGGAACUGAGACACGGUCCAGACUCCUACGGGAGGCAGCAGUGAGGAAUAUUGGUCAAUGGUCGGAAGACUGAACCAGCCAAGUAGCGUGAAGGAUGAAGGUUCUAUGGAUUGUAAACUUCUUUUAUACGGGAAUAAAACCACCUACGUGUAGGUGCUUGUAUGUACCGUAUGAAUAAGCAUCGGCUAACUCCGUG